UACAGAGGUGGCAAGCGUUUUUCGGAAUUACUGGGCGUAAAGGGCGCGUAGGCGGCCUGUUAAGUCCCGUGUGAAAUCCCUCGGCUCAACCGAGGAACUGCACGGGAAACUGGCGGGCUUGAGUUCGGGAGAGGGAAGCGGAAUUCCGGGUGUAGCGGUGAAAUGCGUAGACAUCCGGAGGAACACCGGUGGCGAAGGCGGCUUCCUGGACCGACACUGACGCUGAGGCGCGAAAGCUAGGGGAGCAAACGGG
rnacentral:rRNA from 1 species